UAUUUCAGACGUACAAAUGAACUCUCAUCGUAGAUAUCAGCAAAGUGAUUAUUUGAAAAAAUCUUACGGGCACGCACCGUUGCUUAAAGCGGGGUUUAAAAUAGUUCACCUCGUGCGUAGUUGGCUAUGAUAUUACAUACCUCAAAUCCUACAAACUAUGCUUAUAAAUAGGAAGUAGAUCGGUUAAAAAAAGUGCAUACUGCCAAUACAAGUUAUUCUAAGCUCCUGUGGUUAGCAAAGCUCGCAAGGAAAUUUCUUCACUCUAUCAACUUAGUGACCAGAGAAACCACAAAGACCGAAGCAUCCCAUUCUAGCUUAACAACCCGAUCAAGCGAAGGUAGAAAACUGAGGAGGAAGCCCUCUGCUAAAGCACCGUCGGAAUGUCGAUCGGCCAAAGAGUCAGUUCAUGUCUACUGAGCCUUAAAGAAUGAGGAAUGUAUUUGCCAUCAACGGUUGAAGAAGAGUAUGAAGGACAUUCAAACUUGAGCUCUAAAUUUUGCAGUCCUCAAGAAGCUGCUCUGGGGACAAUUUCAGAAGCGCAUGGUUAGCUUAGAUAUUUAUUUGAAAAAGAGUACACUAUGCAGAUGGAAAGAUAAUUAAAAUGUCUCGAAUGCUUCUCUGCCCUUAAUGUAAAAUUGAAAAAAGAAUGUAUUACACUCUUAUUGUUAAGAUAUAAUUGAAUUAGGACGGGUUUUCACAAUUCAAUAAGUGAAUUGUUCACGGCUUUACACAUAGGCCUGUAUUUAAAACUAAUCAUAACAAUUCCGAGAAAAUGGGAUUUAUCUGUUUCACGCGGAACUGCUCUCUUGCGGGAGUAGGUUGCUUAAGUAAGACGGCCGCAGAAUUCUUUAUGAGUUUCUGUGUUCAGCGCUGUUUUUGUUUUCAAAGUUGGCACCCAUAUUGUAGAACAAUCUAGCAACGAAUAUUUCCGCAAUUCAGUUUUGGUACAUUAGGCGAAAAGCUUACCACGGGGUAAUUUUAGUCAAGCGUACGGGAAAAGGUUGUCAUCAACUAGAAAUCAGUAGAAUUAUCUGUUAUCUUUGUAGCACGUCAUGCAAAUCGUUUCGUUUUUAUUGUUGAUUACGCCAUGGUACUUUGAAGAUACAAAUGAAGAUGUCCUAUCAGAAAACAAAAUUCUUGUCGUUACCAGUCAAAUUCCGUCAACAGAUCAACACAUGUUCAUAACACUUAAACAGCUAAAAUAACAGAAAUCAUGCUGCCAAGUACAGAUCACCUUAUAGUG